GGACUACCCGGGUAUCUAAUCCCGUUCGCUCCCCUGGCUUUCGCGCCUCAGCGUCAGAAAGGGUCCAGGCAGCCGCUUUCGCCACCGGCGUUCCUUCCGAUAUCAACGCAUUUCACCGCUCCACCGGAAGUUCCGCUGCCCCCUACCCCCCUCCAGCGAAGCCGUAUCCCAGGCACUUUUCCGGUUAAGCCGAAAGCUUUCACCCCGGACGUACUUCGCCGCCUACGCGCCCUUUAAGCCCAGUGAUUCCGAACAACGUUCGCACGGUUCGUCUUACCGCGGCGGCUGGCAC
rnacentral:rRNA from 2 species